rnacentral:sRNA from 2 species
ACGCGUGAUGCAUAAUUAAUCGACCAAUAAUCGGAGCGUGCCGCCUGCGCGGUGGCGUGCGUGAAGUCAAACCAAUGCAAUAUAUGUGGCUGACUG